rnacentral:rRNA from 1 species
UCGCGCAACCUUUGCAAUACACGCAAGUGUGACAGGGCUAUCCCGAGUGCCGUCCGCUGAGGAUGGCUUUUACCCAGUCUAGAAAGCUGGGGGGAAUAAGGAGAGGGCAAGUCUGGUGUCAGCCGCCGCGGUAAUACCAGCUCUCCGAGUGGUGUGGAUGUUUAUUGGGCCUAAAGCAUCCGUAGCUGGCCAAGUUAGUCCCCUGUUAAACCCACCGAAUUAAUCGUUGGCGUGCGGGGGAUACUGCUCGGCUAGGGGACGGGAGAGGCAGACGGUAUUCUCGGGGUAGGGGUGAAAUCCUAUAAUCCCGAGAAGACCACCAGUGGCGAAGGCUGUCUGCUAGAACGCGCCCGACGGUGAGGGAUGAAAGCUGGGGGAGCGAACCGGAUUAGAUACCCGGGUAGUCCCAGCUGUAAACGAUGCAGGCUAGGUGUUUGGACGGCCACGUGCCGUUCUAGUGCCGCAGGGAAGCUGUUAAGCCUGCCGCCUGGGGAGUACGGUCGCGAAGAUUGAAACUUAAAGGAAUUGGC